rnacentral:rRNA from 1 species
UACAGAGACUGCAAGCGUUAUUCGGAUUCACUGGGCGUAAAGGGUGCGCAGGCGGUUGGGUGUGUCAGAUGUGAAGUCCCGAGGCUUAACCUCGGAACUGCGUCUGAAACUACUCGACUAGAGUAUUGGAGAGGGUAACGGAAUUCACGGUGUAGCAGUGAAAUGCGUAGAUAUCGUGAGGAACACCAGAGGCGAAGGCGGUUACCUGGACAAUUACUGACGCUCAGGCACGAAAGCAUGGGGAGCAAAAGGG